rfam:Citrus clementina cultivar Clemenules unplaced genomic scaffold scaffold_6, whole genome shotgun sequence.
AUGGAUGUGAUGAUUAUUUCCCCAGAUGAACGACGCUGAUUAAACUGUGCGAUUUUCCUUUCUAUUUUUUUUGAGAAUCCAAGCCAGUCUUCUGAUCCAU